AUUGAACGCUGGCGGCAUGCCUUACACAUGCAAGUCGAACGGCAGCACGGGGGGCAACCCUGGUGGCGAGUGGCGAACGGGUGAGUAAUACAUCGGAACGUGCCCCGUAGCGGGGGGACAACCAGUCGAAAGACUGGCUAAUACCGCAUACGCUCCACGGAGGAAAGCAGGGGAUCGCAAGACCUUGCACUAUGGGAGCGGCCGAUGCCCGAUUAGCUAGUUGGUGAGGUAAAGGCUCACCAAGGCAACGAUCGGUAGCUGGUCUGAGAGGACGACCAGCCACACUGGGCUGAGACACGGCCCAGACUCCUACGGGAGGC
rnacentral:rRNA from 1 species